UACAGAGGGUGCGAGCGUUAAUCGGAAUUACUGGGCGUAAAGCGCACGUAGGCGGCUUGGUAUGUCGGGUGUGAAAUCCCCGGGCUCAACCUGGGAACUGCAUCCGAAACUGCCUUGCUAGAGUAUGGGAGAGGGAAGUGGAAUUUCCGGUGUAGCGGUGAAAUGCGUAGAUAUCGGAAGGAAAAUCAGUGGCAAGGGCGACUUCCUGGACCAAAACUGAGGCUCGGGUGCGAAAGCGUGGGAGCAAACAGG
rnacentral:rRNA from 1 species